CCUACGGGAGGCAGCAGUUGGGAAUCUUCGGCAAUGGGCGCAAGCCUGACCGAGCAACGCCGCGUGAGUGAUGAAGGUUUUCGGAUUGUAAAGCUCUGUCUUCCGGGACGAUAAUGACGGUACCGGAGGAGGAAGCCACGGCUAACUACGUGCCAGCAGCCGCGGUAAU
rnacentral:rRNA from 1 species